AUCAAUAAGCGGAGGAAAAGAAAAUAACAAUGAUUCCUUUAGUAACGGCGAGUGAACAGGGAAAAGCUCACAGUUGGAACCUGUCUGACCUAGUCAGUCCGGAUUGUAAACUGAAAAAGUGUUUUCCAGACCAGCCGAGUAAAAAAGUUCCUUGGAAUAGGACAUCAUGGAGGGUGAGAAUCCCGUCUUUGGCUUGAGCAUGGUCUUUUGUGUUGCGCUUUAAAGAGUCAGGUUGUUUGGGAAUGCAGCCUAAAGUGGGAGGUAAAUCCCUCCUAAAGCUAAAUAUUGGCGGAAGACCGAUAGCAAACAAGUACCGUGAGGGAAAGAUGAAAAGAACUUUGAAAAGAGAGUUAAACAGUAUGUGAAAUUGCUAAAAGGGAAGCGUUUGGAGACAGACUGGUUGGUCUGAAAUCAGCCUGGACUUUGGUCUUGGUGUACUUUCGGACUAUGCCUGCCAACAGCAGUUUGGUUUGACUGAAAAAACUAGUAGUAAGGUGGCUCCUCCGGGAGUGUUAUAGACUAUUAGAAAAUCAGUUGGACUAGACUGAGGAAUGCAAUACGGCUUGCCUGAUGGCCAUGAAGGGUGGAUUCGGACCUUUGUCUGAUGAAGUUUUUCAAGGGUUGUUAGAACUGUAUUUAGGUUGUUGGCUUAAUGUCUCUAAACGGC
rnacentral:rRNA from 1 species